rnacentral:rRNA from 1 species
UACGAAGGGGGCUAGCGUUGCUCGGAAUGACUGGGCGUAAAGGGCGCGUAGGCGGCUCAUACAGUCAGAUGUGAAAUUCCUGGGCUUAACCUGGGGGCUGCAUUUGAUACGUGUGGGCUUGAGUGGGGAAGAGGGUCGUGGAAUUCCCAGUGUAGAGGUGAAAUUCGUAGAUAUCGGGAGGAACACCGGUGGCGAAGGCGGCGACCUGGGUCGAGACUGACGCUGAGGCGCGAAAGCGUGGGGAGCAAACAGG